UCCGCCGCGCCCGACGCAUUUGACUCUCGCCCGAAGGACGCUGCAGCCGGUCGGGCAUCGUGCAAGCGUGACGGCCUGGAGGCCGGGAAACCGCAGGUGGCCGGUGGCGCGCCUCGUGCGCGUCGCCGGUUGUUAGCUUUCCCGGCGGUGGCCCGUCGCCCGACCGAGGUGUCGACAGACCANCAUUGGUCUCCGCGUCUCCUCCCCCAGACGAAGCGGGACGGACGGCCGCUGGCNAGGAUCGCCGUUCUUGCCGCACUCGGAUCGAGUGGACGAGCGAACGGUCAGUGCCNUAGGCGGCCGNGGAGUCCGCGGGAGAGCAGGAGGCUGGCANCGAGUGCNUNGGUCACCCACCCGACCCGUCUUGAAACACGGACCAAGGAGUCUAACAUGUGCGNGAGUCAAUGGGUCUUGAACAGGCCCAGGGGCGCAAUGAAAGCAAAGGUCGGCACCAGUCGACCGAGUUGGGAUCCCUCCCCCCCGGGGGGGGGCGCACCAACGUCCCGUCCCACCCGGCUCGCCGGAGGGGCGGAGAUCGAGCGCACACGUUGGGACC
rnacentral:rRNA from 1 species